UUUAGUUACUCUUUUUUUUUUUUUUCCUUUUCUUACUAAGUAUUGCAUAUUUGUCUUGCUCAAGGUGAUAUCAACUGUUUUAGGUUUUUAUAUCAGAUAAUCCACUGCAAAUAUGUACUAAUCCUAUUCUGUGUUCAGGUUCAGAUUUGUGCAACAUGAAGUGUACUACCACAAUCUAAUGCACCAUUUAGUUGUGCCUAAAACUGGCAGCAGAUACUGCCCCACCCUCUAUAAAUAGAAAAGGCUCACAGAAGUUGUUGUGUUGCAGCUGGAAAGGAAAACGUCUGGGAAGAGAACUGUGAAAGUCCACUAGAGAAGCAACAGUCAAUGAUUUGCCUUUCAGAGCUGGAGCAAGACAGAGCAGUGCUGGAUCCAAGGAAAAAGUCAUCUCCUCUUGCAUUUAAUAUAACACAAUGCACCACAGAGUUUCUGAUCUCAGUCGAUGCCUCUACACAUCGCUUUAAUAUAGAUGAUAAAGAAAAU
ensembl:lncRNA